UGUGCUAAUAAGAGGUGAAAAGGCUGAAAAUUUUGCAGAAGAGGUGAAUAAGCAGAAUUUGGGCUGAAAAGAGGUGAAAAUUCUGCUGAAAAGAGUUCAAUCAGCAGAAUUUCUGCUGAAAAGAGUUCUGCAGAACUCUUUUUAGAAUUCUGCUGAAAAGAGGUUUUUGCUGAAAACAGCAGAAAAAGCUGGGAUUUGUGCUGAAAAGUGGUGAAAAAACUGAAAAUUUUGCUGAAAAGGGGUGAAAAAGCUGAAAUUGAGUUAAAAAAGUUUAACUGUUAACUGAAAGAAAUGUUGCCAUAAGCGGGAUUUGAACCCCGGC
ensembl:lncRNA